GGGGGAUAUUGCGCAAUGGGGGGGACCCUGACGCAGCGACGUCGCGUGAAGGACGAAGGUCUUCGGAUCGUAAACUUUUGUCAUUUGGGAAGAUAUCAGACGGUACCAAAUGAGGAAGCCACGGCUAACUACGUGCCAGCAGCCGCGGUAAUACGUAAGUGGCGAGCGUUGUCCGGAAUUACUGGGUGUAAAGGGCGUGUAGGCGGGUAUGCAAGUCAGAUGUGAAAUACCGGGGCUCAACUCCGGGGUUGCAUUUGAAACUGUAUAUCUUGAGUGCAAGAGAGGGAAGUGGAAUUCCUAGUGUAGCGGUGAAAUGCGUAGAUAUUAGGAGGAACACCAGUGGCGAAGGCGGCUUCCUGGCUUGUAACUGACGCUGAGGCGCGAAAGCGUGGGUAGCGAAC
rnacentral:rRNA from 1 species